CGAACGGGUGAGUAAUGCGUGACCAACCUGCCCCAUGCUCCAGAAUAGCUCUUGGAAACGGGUGGUAAUGCUGGAUGCUCCAACUUGACGCAUGUCUUGUUGGGAAAGUGUUUAGUGGCAUGGGAUGGGGUCGCGUCCUAUCAGCUUGUAGGCGGGGUAAUGGCCCACCUAGGCUUCGACGGGUAGCCGGCCUGAGAGGGCGGACGGCCACAUUGGGACUGAGAUACGGCCCUUACUCCUACGGGAGGCAGCAGGC
rnacentral:rRNA from 1 species